rnacentral:rRNA from 1 species
GACGAACGCUGGCGGCGUGCUUAACACAUGCAAGUCGAACGCGCCUGUCCUCUGGGUUUCUGGGGGGUGGGUGAGUGGCGAACGGGUGAGUAACACGUGAGUAACCUGCCCCCUUCUUCGGGAUAACGGUCUGAAAGGGCUGCUAAAACCGGGUAUUCACUGGUCUCCGCAUGGGGUCUGGUGGAAAGGUUUUUUUCUGGUGGGGGAUGGGCUCGCGGCCUAUCAGCUUGUUGGUGGGGUGAUGGCCCACCAAGGCUUUGACGGGUAGCCGGCCUGAGAGGGUGACCGGUCACAUUGGGACUGAGAUACGGCCCAGACUCCUACGGGAGGCAGCAGUGGGGAAUAAUGCACAAUGGGCGCAAGCCUGAUGCAGCGACGCCGCGUGAGGGAUGGAGGCCUUCGGGUUGUGAACCUCUUUCGCCCGUGGUCAAGCCGCGACGUGGGUCGUGGUGAGGGUAGUGGGUAAAGAAGCGCCGGCUAACUACGUG